rnacentral:rRNA from 1 species
ACGCCCAUACCAUGCUGAAUAUACCGGUUCCCAUUAGAUCACCGAAUUCAAGCAUCAUUGAGCGCCAUCAGUACUUGGGUGGGUGACCACCUGGGAACACCGCGUGCCGUUG